GAUUGGGAUAUCUUAAUAGAAGAUGGGACCAUAGUUGUCUGACAUAAUAAGCAAAAAACAUCAUAGCCCAAUUUUAAAGGCACACGAUGUAGUUAGCAACUCAACUCAGUAUUGUUAUAUUCCGUGAAUAAUUCUUAAAUUUAUAACAACAGGUCCCUUUCCAUCUAUUUCUUUCCUACUCAGAGACUCGUCCCAUCUCUUACUUUUGUGCUUAGAGAUUUCACUGCUUUUCUGCUAAUUAUGUUUUGGAGUGUGAGUGGACUAUUUUCGGCUACGGUUGUGAUUCAAUUGAAUGUUUGAUGAAUUGACUGUGUUUGGUCCCUGAGAAAACGAAGGAAAAUGAUGAAUUAAGAAAUAACCUUAGUCGAUUGGCUUUAUCUCCCUCCAAAACUUCACGAAAAGGAAGCACAAAAUAAUUUUUCUUGCACUGAGGUUACUAACAUAGAGAGGAAGAGGAGAAGAGGGAAAUGAAAGGGAAAGUGGUUGCCAAUUGAAAAGAAAAAUUUCCACUAAGAGCAAAGCUGGACAAGAUUUUUCCACGUUGACCUUCAUAAAUUCAAGUUGGGCAAUCGUAUCCACACUCUACUGGUGGAAAAAAAUAAAUUUGAGGUGCAUAAUUAGUGUCCCGAAGGGUUAGGGAAGAAUUAGGGAUGCUGCAAGAUUAUUCUUUAAAAAUUCAAGAACUAGGUGCAUAAGCAAAUGUAUAUUUAGCCAUUUAAUUUCUAAUUAAAUUUUUUUAACAAUCA